UCAUGUUUUUGCAAUUGCUAAUUGUGCUGCUAUAAACAUGAGUUUGCAAGUGUCUUUUUCAUAUAAUGACUUCUUUUGCUCUGUGGAGAUACCCAGUUGUGGGAUUACUGGAUCAAAUGGUAGUUCUCCUUUUAGUUCUUUGAAGAAUCUCCAUACUGUUUUCUAUAGUGGUUGUACUAGUUUAUAUUCCCACCAGCAGUGUAAACGUGUUCCCUUUUCACCACAUCUACAUCAAUGUUUUAAAAAUAUUUAAAAAUAAAAAUUGGCUCUAUAAGGAGUAAUUGUGAAAUAGAGCUGUUGUGAAAUAAAGCAGAAGAAAUGGUAAAGAAUGACUAAAACUGAAAAGAGGCUGUUGGGUUUUGAAAUUAAGAGAUAUUUAGUGACCUUAGUAAAAGCAAUUUCAGUGGACUGGUAAGGGAUAAAAAAUGAUUGUAAUCAACUGAGGUGAAUAAAAAAGUGAAGAUGAAGAGUAUAAACUAUUUUAAAGGGAUUUGGAGGGAGUAUAAACAGGAAUAAAACUUGGGAGAGCAUUUUGGCAAUAUCUGACGAGGGUGAAAAUUCACGUACGUUGUGACCUGUUCACUCUGUUUCUAGGUAUAACCAACAGCAGUGUUUCCCAAGGUAUGGUACAGGGCCCAACUUUAUCAGGAUCACUUUUAAAAAAUGCUUUAGCAGAUGCUAUUCAAAUUGGCAGCAGGGCCGAUGGUUGUGCUGAGACUCGUCACUGCCCGGGCCACUGGGCCUGAGUGUUGCCUUCACAGCCAUGGACGCCACCGGGCGCUGACAGACCUAUGGAGAGUCUGGGUGUGCCUCUUGGGCCUUAUCGGGCCACCAAGCUGGAAUGCCCUUCAGGCAGGCAUGUGUUAUUAGUCCUACUUUACCAGUGUGGACACUGAGGCUCACAGACGUUAGAGGCCUUCUAAAGUCACAUCUACAGCAAGUGGCAGAGCUAGAAUUCAGAUCUUCCUGGUAUGGCCAUCUUAAAUGGAUUCUGCUACUUAUGGAAUGAAGUUACCACAUCUUUUCGAGCAGGAAUGCCUCUAAGAAAACAUAGACAACACUUUAAAAAAUAUGGCAAUUGUUUCACAGCAGGAGAAGCAGUGGAUUGGCUUUAUGACCUAUUAAGAAAUAAUAGCAAUUUUGGUCCCAAAGUUACAAGUCAACAGACUAUCCAACUGUUGAGGAUAUUUCUUAAGAAUCAUGUAAUUGAAGAUAUCAAAGGCAGGUGGGGAUCAGAAAAUGUUGACGAUAAUAAGCAGUUCUUCAGAUUUCCUGCUACUUCGCCACUUAAAACUCUGCCACGAAGGCAUCCAGAAUUGAGAAAAAACAACAUAGAGAACUUUUCCAAAGAUAAAGAUAGUAUUUUUAAAUGAUGAAACUUAUCUCGUAGAACUCCUAAAAAGCAUGGAAUACAUUUAUCUUAGGAAAAUGCUGAGAAAAUAAAGCAUGAAAUAAUCAAUGAAGAUCAAGAAAAUGCAGUUGAUAAUAGAGAACUAAGCCAGAAAGAUGUUGAAGAAAUUUCGAGAUAUGUUAUUCUGAUCUACCUGCAAACCAUUUUAGGUGUGCCAUCCCUAGAAGAAGUCAUAAAUCCAAAACAAGUAAUUCCCCAAUAUGUAAUGUACAACAUGGCCAAUACAAGUAAACAUGGGGUAGUCAUACUACAAAACAAAUUGGAUGACCUUCCUCACUGGGUAUUAUCUGCCAUGAGGCCUGGCGGAUUGGCCAAGAACUGAUGAUAUGAAUAAUUCAACUAAUGUUGGAUUUGAACAAGAUGUAUUCAGAACAAUCACAGAUUAUUUUCUAGAUCUCCCUGAACCUCUACUUACUUUUGAAUAUUACAAAUUAUUUGUGAACAUUUUGGUUAUUUGUGGCUAUGUGAUAGUUUCAGAUAGAUCCAGUGGGAUACAUAGAAUCCAAGAUGAUCCACAGUCUUAAAAAUUCCUUCACUUAAACAAUUUGAAUUCCUUCAAAUCAACUGAGUACCUUCUUCUCAGUCUGCUUCAUAGAGAAAAAAGAAGAAUCAGAUUAUUCUGAGAGACUACAGAUAAGCAAUCCAGGAUUUCAAGAAAGAUUUGCUAAGAAAAUGCAGCUAGUUAAUUUAAGAAACAGAAGAGUGAGUGCUAAUGACAUAAUGGGAGGAAGCUGUCAUAAUUUCAUAGGGUUAAGUGGUAUGCAUGAUCUAUCCUCUAACAGCAAACCAAGCUGUUGUUCUUUGGAAGGUAUUGUAGAUGUGUCAGGGAAUUCAAAUAAGAGGCAUCCAGUGUGUUUCAUCUAUCUUUUCCAAACAUAGAAGGACAAAAUAAUAAACUGUUUUUAGAGUCUAAGCCCAAAGAGGAAUUCCUGUUGAAUCUUCAUUCAGAGGAAAAUAUUCAAAAGCCAUUCUGUGCUGGUUUUAAGAGAACCACUACUUUGACUGCUCAAGACCAAGAGAAGUUGUGUCAUGGGAAAUGCAAGUCAAAACAGCUUUAUAGGUCUCAGAGUUUGCUUUUAAGAAGUAGUACAAGAAGGAAUAGUUAUAUCAAUACACCAGUGGCUGAAAUUAUCAUGAAACCAAAUGUUGGACAAGGCAGCACAAGUGUGCAAACAGCUAUGGAAAGUGAACUUGGAGAGUCUAGUGCCACAAUCAAUAAAAGACUCUGCAAAAGUUCAAUAGAAUUUUCAGAAAAUUCUUUACUUCCAGCUUCUUCUGUGUUGACUGGCACACAGAGUUUCCUGCAACGUCAUUUAGAGAGGGUUGCCAUCGAUGCUGUACAGUUAUGUUGUUUGUUACUUCCCCCAGCAAAUUAUAGAAAACUUCAACUUUUAAUGCGUAUGAUUUCCCAAAUGAGUCAAAAUGUUGAUAUGCCUAAACUUCAUGAUGCAUUGGGCACGAGAUCACUGAGGAUACAUACCUUUUCUUGGUGUGUGCUAUGCUGUGCUAAAGAAGUGGAUCUUGAUGAGCUUCUUGCUGGAAGAUUAGUUUCUUUCUUAACGGAUCAUCAUCAGGAAAUUCUUCAAGUACCCUCUUACUUACAGACUGCAGCGGAAAAACAUCUUGACUACUUAAAAAAGGGACAUAUUGAAAAUCCUGGAGAUGGACUGUUUGUUCGUUUGCCAACUUAUUCAUACUGUAAGCAGAUUAGUGCUCAGGACUUUGAUGAGCAAAGUUUCUACCUCUCAAGCUGCAAUUGCAGAACUUUUAGAAAAUAUUAUUAAAAACAAGAAUUUACCUCUAAAGGAGAAAAGAAAAAAGCUAAAACAGUUUCAGAAUGAAUAUCCCUGAUACAUCAGAAAAGAUUUCCAACCACGGAGAGUGAAGCAGCACUUUUUGGUGACAAACCUAUGAUCAAGCAACCAAUGCUGAUUUUAAGAAAACCAAAGUUCCGUAGUCUAAGAUACUAACUGAAUUAAAAAUCAUGUAAUAGUUGUGGAACUUUUAUAAAUGAAGCCAUAUCUGAGAAUGUAGCUAUCAAAAGGAAGUCUGUUAUUAAUAAGGUAUUUCUAAAUAAACACAUUAUGUAAGGAAGUACCAAAAUAGUUGUUUAUCAAUGUGAGACUCCUAGGAAACUACCUAGAUCUCAACUGAGAGCACAUAACAAUAGGUGAUACCAAAUACUUUUUGUUUUUAACGCAGCUAUGCAGUAAGGCUAUCAUGAUGUGUACUAAAAUUUUAUUUACUUGAAUUUUGAAACCUGAGCUGUGCAUCAAGAUUAAACUGUAAUUCUGUUUUUAAAAGAAAAUUUAUCUGCAUAUGUACAAGUUCUGAGAUAUUGGCUAAUGAAUUAGUUAUUUGGGGUUACUUCUUUGUUUCUAAGUAUAAGAAUGUGAAGAAUAUUUGAAAACUCAAUGAAAUAAUUCUCAGCUGCCAAAUGUUGCACUCUUUUGUAUAUUCUUUUUCCACUUUUGAUCUACUUAUAUAUAUGUGUGUGUUUUUAAAAUAUGUGUAUAUUUUAUCAGAUUUGGUUUUGCCUUAAAUAUUAUCCCCAAUUGCUUCAGUCAUUCAUUUGUUCAAUAUAUAUAUUUUGAAUUCUAAUUUGCAUAGUCUAUUACAAGAUGGGGAUAUAAAAGAAGUAUAAGGCAAUCAUAUAUUCAUUCAAAUACUUAAAGUAUAAUAAAAAAUAAAAAUAAAAAUUAAAAUUAAAAAAAUUUUUAAAAAAUAUACUUAUUUAGCAACUGCUAUGUGCCUUCAUUGUUCCAGAUAUGUGGAGACAAUGAUAAAUAAAACAUAUAAUCUCUUCUAUAAGGUAUUUAUUUUUAAUCAAGGGAGAUACACUUAUCAGAUGCUUAAAAUAACAACACUACCCACUGAAAUCAGGGCAUAUAUAAUCAUUCAGCUCACGACUGACUUCUAUGAUGAUGGAACAGGUCUCUAAGCUAGUGGUUUUCAAAUUAGUGCACAUUAGACUCACCCGAGGAGUUUUAAAACAGCCUAUAUGCCUAGGGCCUAACUUAUACUAAUUAAAUCUGAAUUUUAGGGAUGUUGUAUAGGGAUUAGUAUUUUUUUUAAUCUAGGUGAUUCCAGUAUUCAGCCAACUGUGAGAAUCAAUGUCCUUAAUGCUUUUUUUAAACAUGUUUAUAAGUGUCAAGAUAGUGGCACAUUGACUUUAUUUUUUCAUUGGAAGAAAAUGCCUGCCAAGUAUAAAUGCCUCUCAUCUUAAAACAAGGUUCUUCAGGUUUCUGCUUGAUUGACUUGGUACAAACUUGAAGCAAGUUGCCUUCUAUUUUUUACUCCAAGAUUGUUUGAUAUCUAUUCCUUAAGUGUAAAGAAAUAUAUAAUGCCUGGGUUGUAAUAAAAUCUUAAUGUUUAA